rnacentral:antisense_RNA from 1 species
AUCCCACCGAGGCCACCAUAGACCAGCCAGCCCUCAGCGUACAUGCCAGCUAAUUACAGAUGCAGGAGCAAACCCCUGGCCCAUACAUCAAAACAUACAGUAAACAGAGAAAAAAAAGGGUCUCAGGUGAGAUGAUGUAUGGGAAUGCUCAGCAUACAGAAUGAAUGGAUAAGAGGCCUGAAAACAUAAUCCUGUAAACAACCAUAUUGAAAGAGAAGACAGAAGACAUCAAACAGAUGGAGUUUCGCUCUUGUUGCCCAGGCUGGAGUGCAACGGCACGAUCUCAGCUCACCGCAACCUCCACCUCCCAAGUUCAAGCAAUUCUCCUGCCUCAGCCUCCUGAGUAGCUGGAAUUACAGGAUUUUGGAAGCAUUGCCUUCUACAGAAUCCACAGUAGUCCGAAGUUCUUCUACGGUUUUUGUCAAACUUUGAUUUUCCAUCUCUAGCUUCAAUAAUCUACUUGAUGUCAACUCAUUCACCUCAUGGCCCAGGGAUUUCUGGGGUGCUAUAAUAUUGAAAAAUACACCAUUGUAUUUACUCUUUACUGUUUUUACUAUGUUUACUCUUUACUAUUUAAAAAGUUGAGUGUAUAUGCAUUGCAUCAUCUGAUCCUUAACUUU